CUGAAAGGGAGCAAGGCUUGCUCUUCUUUUCAGCAGUCCCUGUUUCAUCUCACAGGAUUGAAAAGGAGAGAGAAUGAGCUUGAGUCAAAGAAUGGGAAUAGGGACAGCAAUGUUAAAAGCUUACAUCUGCCAUCUUCAAAAGUGGAGAUUCCUACUUUCAAAAUUAAAGAAACCCCUGAAGUGGAGGCACUACAGAAAAAAACCUGUUUGCAGACAUAUUAGAUACCUGUCCAGAAGAAACCUGGAACAUCCUUAGCAGAGGAUCAGAGACUGAUGCACACCACAGAAGAAUCCCUUCACUGACUGUGAUGAGAAAAGAACAUGAGGAAGCAACACAUUUUUGCAGAACAUGAAUAGACCAGCUCGAGACUGUCAGGAGCCAGGAGUUGACUCACCCUUUGGAAUACAAUAGAGAUCAAGCUCACUGUAGAGAGAAAAAAUUGCCCAGAGCAAGUUCAAAGGAACAGCUGAAGUCACUGGAGAAUAUGUGAAAUCAGAAGAAAUGCAAAUGUUAAAACAGCAGAUUGCUGGACUGCAGGAGGAGUUCAAGAGAGCUGAGUCCUACUGGCAUGCUGCCUGCAGCAAACUGAGAGACCAGGCUGAGCUGCUGACCAGGCAGAAUUUGGAGCUUCGAGAUGAGCUCAGAGCUUCACAACAUCAGAGACAGAAAGCAGAAAAAAACCCCCAAAGCUAAAACUUUCAUGGACAGAAAAUCAGAGACCCUGGUACUGUAAGAUACUCUCUGCUUAAUACUGUUUGAAAAAUUCAGUAGUUUUUUUUUUGGAGCUGUCAUGUGUGAAUACUGUCCCUCCACUCUUGCUUAGCCUGAAGGGGGGAAAGUCAGCUCUACAGUGAGCCAUGUUAAAAUACACUCUUUGUGUGGCCCUCUUCCACCUAGCCUUUUUAUCCAGGAGGUGUGCAGUUUUGCCAGGUGAUGCAGCCAGCCUAUCACAGACUCUUAGGUCAGGUGUCUCCCUCCACUAACUAGAAAAGAAGUCUAGAUAAUUAAUUUACUUUCAGUGACUAAAUUAAAGCUUUCUAAAAAGCCUCCUGAAAAUAAUUCUACUCUUUAUAUAUAGUGUCAUUGACCUGUUCAAUAAAGCAUCUCUUCAGCCUGGAAAAAAAUAUAGC
rnacentral:lncRNA from 1 species